GACCUAAAUUGAGGUCCCUACGGGUAAACAAGCUAAUAAUUUACACAGAAUGAAGUUUCUUGAAAAUCUAAAAAUGCAGAAAGUUUCCUGUGAGGGUUAGGUUUAGGGGUAGAGUUGGUGUAGGACGAUAGAAAAUACUGUCUGUACAGUAUAAAAACCAUUACACCUAUGGAGAGUCCCCACAAGGAUAGCUGACCAGACAUGUGUGUGUGUGAGUGUGUGUGUGUGUGUGUGUGUGUGUGUGAGUGUGUCUCUGAUUGUGUGUGUGUGUGUGUGUGUGUGUGUGUGUGUCUCUGAGUGUGUGUGUGUGUGUUGGUUUUUGUGGUUUACAAGGACUUUUGACCUGAAUACGCACCAGCAUUACAGGGACAUUUGGGUUUAUGAGGACAGGGCCCAUGUCCUUAUAAUUCCGACAGUGUAGAUGCCUUUCUCUAUGUCCCAGAAGCUCCCUCUCAAAGUUUCGCGCCAUGUCCUAAUAUACCACAAAAAUCGGAAAUUUUACUAUACACUGUGUAUCCUCUGAGCUCGGGAGUGCGCCCCUGCAGCCCGGACCCGGUACUGCAUCCGCGUCAUCGAAAAUUUGCAUAUUUUACACUUGUGUAAUUUUGGAGGCCGCUGAUUGGCUAGAUCGCCACCGGAGGGCGGGAAAUCGCGAAAACAAAAUGGCGGCGGUGGGCGGGGCUACAUUCUGCCGCUAAUAGCUCCGUACAAGUAAGUUAAUGCAGUUUGGUAAUUAUUUAGACAUUUUUUGCUAUAAUUUAUCGAUUGUAUAUGAUUAUAUAAAUGCAUAAUGAUCGUGCAAUUAAACAUAUUCCUUAAAUAUCAUCAUAUAACGUAUGAAUGUGACAUCAAAGCUGAAAUUACUCAGUUUAAUAUCAGUAUAUUAAUGUAACGCUAUUAAUGUAACAUUUCAUAGAUUGUUAUUUAAAUAUAUUAUUAUUAUUAUAAUUAUAAAUCCCGUAUACUCGUGCUCUAAUCAGCGAGGCAAGCGUGACGGUUUAUUACUUCCUGUUUGGACCGGACGCAAUCUGUGCACCUGAAGCGAAGACAUCUGUGGUGUGAAGCUGUUGGAAACAACUAUUAUAUUAAAGCAGACACAGAGGAUGGCUGAAGGUGCGAGGCGAAGGAGAAAGCUGAGGCCAUACAGUGUUCACUUCAACAGAAAGACCAUAAUGGGCUCAAGGGCAGGUUCAUCACUGAUCUUAAAGGGAGGGGUGUGUUCAGCUGUACUGACUUUGAGAAAGGAGAUUUCCUGCUGGAAUACAGAGGAGACCUCAUCAGCAAAGAAGAAUGUGAGCGGAGGCAAAGAAUAUAUCACGAUGCACUUAAAGUUUUCAUGUUUGAGUUUCGCUACAAUGGAAAACUCCUCUGUGUCGAUGCAGCCCGAGAUGACGGUUCUCUUGGGCGGCUUGUAAACGAUGACCAUAUUAACCCAAACAGCAGGAUGAAGACGAUUCGUGUGGAUGGAAAACCUCACUUAUGUUUAUUUGCCACAAGGAGCAUCUGUCCUGGUGAAGAGAUCACAUAUGAUUAUGGUGAUUCUGAGUGGCCAUGGAGAUGCACGACUUUUCUAUAGUGUGGUUGAACCGUCCACUCUUGAAGUCAACACUCUGUCCCAGUCAGAAGACACAGACGUAUAGAAGGUGACUCUGAAGAAGGACCGGUUACUAUUGGAUGAUCAGGACUGUGUUGAGUAGAUGUCACCUGUCAAAGAGCAUGUGUUGAAUGAGGAGGUAUUCACAUGUGUCGGAUGAACUGUUAUUUCAGUGCAACAGUGAAUGCUCUGAAGUCUGAUGUCUUCAUGGGCUGUGAUAUACUUAGCUGUUACCAAAUUGAUCCUGAAGAAAGUGAUGGUGAUUCUGAAGAUGAUGCUCUUGCUGGAGCUGCAGGAGACUCCAGUAAUGCUGGUGUUCAGAAGAUGCCCAUUGAGAGCACCACUGAACUUCCUGAAGAGAGUGAGAGUGAGGCAGAAACUGAAAACCCACGGAGAGGGCAGAAGGUGUCCUGGUCAAACGCUGAAGUUACAGCUGUAAUCAAACAUUUUAAGGACCACAGAGCAAAAGGAAACUGGCCACACUGACUGAAUGCCAGCAGUGUAAAACUGCUGAGGAUCCUGUUUUGGACACCGGGAAAGGGGUGUCCCCUUAAACCACCAUCCAACUGGUUUGGCCAUCAGAGUACUGCUAAACCACAAAAACCAGUAUGUGUGUGUGUGUGUGUGUGUGUGUGUGUGAAGGGCACCGCCUUUCACAAUGUAAAAACACAUACAGGCUUGUUUAAGGAUGAAGCGCUCAUCUCACACACACACACACACACACACACACACACACACAUGCUAACACACAUUUUUCUAGUACAGGCAUAAAGGCUGUGUGUCUGUGAUUAUGCAUGCGUGUUCAUGUGGGAGUGUGUGUGAGACGCAUGCAUGCAUGAAGGCAGGUCUGUAUUUGUUCAGGCACGUGUGUGGGCGCCUCGGCUCUCUCUGAGUCUCAUUAUUUUAGGAGUUGCUGUAGUUUCACUGUGUUGAAUGUCAGUUUGGGCAUCAUGGAAUGUGAAGCAUUAAACACUGACCACCUUCAGGACGCUUCUACCCCAGAAUUCUCCUCAUACUGAAUCAUCUGGACAUUCUUGUGAUUUGACUCUAGCUGCACAUAAGUUUUAAAGGAAUAGUUCAGCUGGAAAGCAUCCUUUAUUCCCCCUUGUCUCGCUUUAAUCAGUCUUCAGUAAAAGAGAAAAAGAGACGUUUAGCAGAAUGUUCAUGCUGCUCUUUCCCACCCAACGCUGUUGCUCUGCCACUCUGGACAGAACUGAAUAAGUCUGA